rnacentral:lncRNA from 1 species
UUUUUUUUGCUAAGAAUAUGAAUAUCAUCUAUGAAAAUGAACAAUUGAUGCAAGUUUUACCUUCGAUCCCAUUCUGCUUAGAAAGCACGAUUGGCACUAAGUGUGCAAAAAAAGUAAAACACACUUACAAACUUAACAAAGUCUAACAAGUUCUAGAAAAGACAAAGCUAGUUAAGCAGGCCAUCGGUUUGCGGCUGAAUCCGGCCACUCCACACAGAAGAGGAACUUUGAGAAUAGCUGGAGUAAAGGAGCAGGAGAGGCAGACACAACCAGACGUGGAUCUCUUUAUGGCCUUUGAAGCACAACGGACUCACGAGGGUCUACAGAAACAUGGUGAAGCUGAUGAAAACCUCUGAUGACUCUGCAUCAGUCACCAGUUAAGUCCCCAAACCCGAACGCACCAAAUAAAAGCAGAUAAGGCAGCCGACGACUGAUGAAACACCUUGGAAAAUUGUAGGAGAGCUUGAUAAUGGCAGAGGCCCUCAGCAGAGUGUCUCAGCUCCGCCACACACCGAAAGAUGGAGUCUUCGAGGAGAGGCUCUACAAAACCUUUAAUCGUCGAGAGAUGAAUGCAAUAGAAAAAUAAGGCGGAGUUGGAGCCAGAGGAGAGGCAGUCACGCUCUAGAUCUACCCUUCCACACCUUUGAAAGACAGAUGAGACCUAUAUCCGAUAUAGGCGUUCCAGAACAGAUAGAGAGAACAAGGACCAUGUGCUUGAUCUGCUACACACCGCCUCGCCUGCUCUCCAGAGAGGGUUAGAACACCCUAAACCACCUGGUUAGUUCCGACAGAGCGGAGAUCCAGAGGAGGAUACGGAAGCAGAGGGGACAGAGGAAAGACUGAAGCUUAUGAAGCGGAUGAAAGGGUGGGAGGUCGACAGUUAAAUAGAGCCCGUCGACCGCCGGAAACGGAGAGAGUAAGGCCGCAGCGCUAUGUUAAGGAUGAGUGGGGGGGGGAGGAGGGAGAUAGACGAUUGAGAUAAAAAAUUAUCUUUCCUUUCUCUAUGAUAUUUAUUCGAAAUUAGGAUAAAUUUGAACAUUUUCAAAUGUAUUCUUCAAAGAUAACCAUUUUCAC